CCGUAGGCUUGAUGGGAGGCACAACAACCCAAGUCACCAUGUGGAGGAUUAUGAGUUUGCUCCUCACAAAUGACAUGGUCCGUCAGAUAAAUUGGAAGGGAAUGAAUAGAAAGGCUGCGUUCAAGGACACUGCUUUAAAAGCUGUGAUCAGUGCUGAGUCUCAAUUCAUCGAAGGCUGCAUUUAAAGACCAACUACAUCACAGCAGCGCGACAAGGCCGUCCUAUUUCAAAGGAUCCUUUAGACGCGGCCCAGAAAUGCGUCCUUUGUUUUCUGGACAACCGAGGAUCCAGCACAACCGAUUCCAAGAUUCAUUGUGUGCCAGUGAUGAAUCAUCAUUCAAAGAGAGCAUGGCAGACUCCACAAAUAAAAGGUCUAGGAGCCCUGCAUGUCCCUGCACUUGUUUCCAGAUUGUUCCAGCAGAUUCACUGGAUCCCCAAGUGUCAAGUCUCAUCAUCUGCUCACGCCACCUCAGUGACUAGCCACUCCUUCCACCUGCCAUCUGCCUCAGCCGCUCUCAGCCACUCACCGCCCUCAGCCUGUCAGCCUAUCCCCUGCCUACGCCUGCCUCCAUCUCCCCAACCUUAACCAUUCUUCCAAAUAAACCCACCA